CAAAAAUUUCUCACUCAGGUAAGAUGAUGACAAUGCGUAUGCUUGUAGAUUAUUGAGAAACUUUCCAAGUGGAAGAGAAAUUCUGUUUCUUGAGCCAAUUCUCAGAAAAUACAAAAAGGAAACUCGAUUAUUGUUGUUAUUCAACAGAAAAUGAAAUAUCUGAAGAUCUAGAGUUGAGCAAGUUAGCUCUUGCGAAAUUAACUGAGGAAAUGACGUCCAUUGAAGCUAAAGAUUACAUAAUUGAGCUUAAACGUAACAGAUUGUAUAACUGGAUAGGCGAGAUAUCAAUGUGAUUUAUACGAUGUCUGUCAUUCUUCUGAAUAUGAAUGUCCUAAAGAAUUCAAAGAGUGGAUGAUUUGGAAGCAGUUGGAUCGACUAACAAAACAUACCAUGACCAAAAUUAUUAAAAUCUCCGAACUUGAAGAAAAAGCAUAUGAAGUUUAUCUACAAGACAUGGGAGUUCGGGUGCCAGAUGAGUGGAUGGGAUUCAUGAACACUUCUUCUGAUUUGACCUCAAAGAUGAAAUUAUACGAGAUGAUGAGUAAGGAAUCCUAGUUAUAAUUCUACGAAUCAUUCCCGAAUGAUUCGUGAACGUAUCCGAACUGACCGAAUCCGAAUGAUAUUUCCGAAUUAUUUGAACUCCGAACCUAGUUUUCGGAUUAUAUAGACCUCACGAAUGAUUCACGAACGUAUCCGAACUGACCAAAUCCGAUUGAUAUUUCCAAACUAGAACUCCCAUAGGUAACUCUCUGACCAGAGUUCUGUUGAUUGGUUUUUGUUUGAUUUUGUAUAUACUUUAUAUUUAAAUACAAUU